UUUCACAAGUUGAACUUUUCUUUUGAUUCAACAGGGUUGGAAACACUCUUUUGUAAAAUCUACAAAGAAACAUUUUGGAGUCCAUUGAGGCCUAUAGUGAAAAACUGAAUAUUUCGCCUUGAAAACCAGAAACAAGCUAUCUGUGAAAAUGCUUUGUGAUGGAAGAUUUAUCUCACAGAGUUAAACGUUUGUAUUGAUUCAGCUGGCUGGCAACACUCUUUUUGUAAAAUCUACAAUGGGACAUUUCAGAGACCAUUGAAGUCUACAGAAAAAGACUGAAUAUCCCAUGAUUAAAACUAGAAACAAGC
rnacentral:lncRNA from 1 species